rnacentral:rRNA from 1 species
AGUCGAACGAAGUAGCAAUACUUAGUGGCAGACGGGUGAGUAACAUGUAGGUAUCUGCCCUUUGGCCUGGAAUAACACGAGGAAACUUGUGCUAAUACCGGAUAAGUCUUUACGGAGAAAGCUUUAUGCACCAUUGGAUGAGCCUGCACUUGAUUAGUUUGUUGGUGGGGUAAUGGCCUACCAAGACUGUGAUCAAUAGCUGAUUUGAGAGGAUGAUCAGCCACAUUGGGACUGAGACACGGCCCAAACUCCUACGGGAGGCAGCAGUGGGGAAUCUUGCACAAUGGAGGAAACUCUGAUGCAGCGAUGCCGCGUGAGUGAAGAAGGCCCUUGGGUUGUAAAGCUCUUUCGUCGGGGAAGAAAAUGACUGUACCCGAAUAAGAAGGUCCGGCUAACUUCGUGCCAGCAGCCGCGGUAAUACGAAGGGACCUAGCGUAGUUCGGAAUUACUGGGCUUAAAGAGUUCGUAGGUGGUUGAAAAAGUUAGUGGUGAAAUCCCAGAGCUUAACUCUGGAACUGCCAUUAAAACUUUUCAGCUAGAGUAUGAUAGAGGAAAGCAGAAUUUCUAGUGUAGAGGUGAAAUUCGUAGAUAUUAGAAAGAAUACCAAUUGCGAAGGCAGCUUUCUGGAUCAUUACUGACACUGAGGAACGAAAGCAUGGGUAGCGAAGAGGAUUAGAUACCCUCGUAGUCCAUGCCGUAAACGAUGUGUGUUAGACGUUGGAAAUUUAUUUUCAGUGUCGCAGGGAAACCGAUAAACACACCGCCUGGGGAGUACGACCGCAAGGUUAAAACUCAAAUGAAUUGACGGGGACCCGCACAAGUAGUGGAGCAUGUGGUUUAAUUCGAAGAUACGCGCAGAACCUUACCAACACUUGACAUGUUCGUCGCGACUUUAAGAGAUUAAAGUUUUCGGUUCGGCCGGACGAAACACAGGUGCUGCAUGGCUGUCGUCAGCUCGUGUCGUGAGAUGUUGGGUUAAGUCCCGCAACGAGCGCAACCCUCACUUUUAGUUGCCAUCAUUAAGUUGGGCACUCUGAAAGAACUGCCAGUGAUAAGCUGGAGGAAGGUGGGGAUGACGUCAAGUCCUCAUGGCCCUUACGUGUUGGGCUACACACGUGCUACAAUGGUAUCUACAACAGGAAGCAAGACUGCGAAGUUAAGCAAAUCCCUAAAAGAUACCUCAGUUCGGAUUGCACUCUGCAACUCGAGUGCAUGAAGCUGGAAUUACUAGUAAUCGUGGAUCAGCGUGCCACGGUGAAUGCGUUCCCGGGUCUUGUACACACCGCCCGUCACACCAUGGGAGUUGGUUCUACCUUAAGGCAAGGUUUUAAAC